rnacentral:rRNA from 1 species
GACGAACGCUGGCGGCGUGCUUAACACACGCAAGUCGUACGAUGACCCGGCUCUUCGGAGCUGGUGAUUAGUGGCGAACGGGUGAGUAACACGUGGGUGACCUGCCCUGCACUCUGGGAUAAGCCCGGGAAACUGGGUCUAAUACUGGAUACGACCAGUGGCCGCAUGGUCUGCUGGUGGAAAGCCCUUCGGGGUGGUGUGGGAUGGGCCCGCGGCCUAUCAGCUUGUUGGUGGGGUGAUGGCCUACCAAGGCGACGACGGGUAGCCGGCCUGAGAGGGUGUCCGGCCACACUGGGACUGAGACACGGCCCAGACUCCUACGGGAGGCAGCAGUGGGGAAUCUUGCACAAUGGGCGAAAGCCUGAUGCAGCGACGCCGCGUGAGGGAUGACGGCCUUCGGGUUGUAAACCUCUUUCGGCAGGGAACAAGCCUGGGGGUUUUCUUCUGGGUGAGGGUACCUGCGGAAGAAGCACCGGCUAACUACGUG